GCCUGACUGGCUUAGUUGGUAGAGGAUGUGACUUCUUGAUCUCAGGGUCAUGAGUUCAAACCCCAUGUUGGGUG
rnacentral:tRNA from 1 species